GGUGUCAUGUAUCAUGUUCCACAGUUGAUGGUGGUUGGAGACGUCAGGCCUAGCAGUUGGUGAUGGAAGGGGUUAAUGUAAGUUCUACAGGGCUGAGUAAUCUGUAAGUAGGAGUUACAGGUAAAAGCAAGUAAGGGUGAAGGCAUGCAAGAGAUAGGUUGCAGCUGGGUUGUACUGGAUAUAAAGAGCUGGUAUGGAGAAUGAUCUUUAAGAGAAAAGUACUUUGGUUCUACUUUGGUUGUGGAUGCUGCUGGUUUUUCCCCGGGUUUGUGAAUUUUUGGUAUCCUGGCUUGUUUCCUGAAUUCCUGGAACCUGGAACCUCUGGACUGGUCAUUGACUAUGAUAUUAAUAAUAUAGAUAGCAAGGUUUAUUCAAGUCUGACCCUACAAUCUGGUGAUAUUUCUGGGUGAUACAUCUGGGAGAACGAAGACAGAGGAGCUGAAGGCCACGCAUGUACUACUCAGCAGAGGACAGCACUUUAUAUGAAGUGUUCAACUGUCUCUAAGAUAGUCUCAAUAUUUAACUCUGACUGGACUUGAAUAUAGAUCCGACUGAACUUGAAUACAGCUUUGACUGGACUUGCUAUUUUGUACAUCUUCCAUCCUUCCUUUCUCUUCACCCUCAGUGAAGGCUGACUCUUCCAAGAACCAAAAGUGCCUUGUGUGAGUGUCUUCAUGGGGCAUGACAAGGAGGGUGUGAUAUAAAUAUAAGGACAACUAGUGUAUUAAUAUAGCAACAACAGGUAAAUGUAUAAUUAAAUAAAAGUCCUAAUAAUUUAUAUGAUCAUACUCAAAACAGUGUGUCAUUGUCUUUUUUAAGUCUGCUUGUUUACGCUGUUAAAGAUCUAUGUAAAAAAAUAUAAACUUAGAUUUUGACUAAAGUGUUAGUGGGUUGCAACCAAGCAUAAUCUGGAUCACAAACAGCACAGUCAGCUAUUCUGUGCUGAGCUUCACCAUGGAGCUUAGGGGAAAU